UACGGGGGGGGCAAGCGUUGUCCGGAAUCAUUGGGCGUAAAGCGCGUGUAGGCGGCCCGGUAAGUCCGCUGUGAAAGUCGGGGGCUCAACCCUCGGAUGCCGGUGGAUACUGUCGGGCUAGAGUGCGGAAGAGGCGAGUGGAAUUCCUGGUGUAGCGGUGAAAUGCGCAGAUAUCAGGAGGAACACCAAUUGCGAAGGCAGCUCGCUGGGACGUGACUGACGCUGAGACGCGAAAGCGUGGGGAGCAAACAGG
rnacentral:rRNA from 1 species